rnacentral:piRNA from 1 species
UGAAUCGAGUGUGACGUCAUCAGGGGUAC